GGCCUGGUGGUCUAGUAGUAUGAUUUCUUCUUAGGGUUGUUCUGGGUGUUCUACCUGGUGCUUGACCGCUUGGAGGAGGUCCCGGGUUCAAUUCCCGGCCAGGCCC